GGAAGCAUAUGAUGGGCCUACUCCUAGCUUUCUUCCCAAGGAGUUGGACCGAGAUGUCGGUCUGGAUCAUCUUGUCGUUCAGGAUUAGACCGUCGGAUAGUUCUAUCUUUUGCUUUGUCUGGGUUUAGCGCAUUCUCUCUUUUGUAAACCUGAACUUGUUUUCUUUGUAGUCUUGAACUUGUCUGUCUUGGAUCGGUUGUGUUCCGGACUGAACCUAUUACUUGGGCGUAAUCCUGAUGGCCU
rnacentral:lncRNA from 1 species